UUACGGGCGGUCACAGCCCCAGGGCCCCAAGAAGAACUUCAGGAACGCCUCGUCGCCCACCAUCGAAGACAGGGCGCUGCCCGGCGCCUAUUCCUGCGUGUACCUGUCGUACAGCAGCCAGGGCUUGACUUCGUCCCUCGAGAGCCCCCCGGCCCUCUUCCCGCCGCCGUGGGACCACCUCCCCCCCGGCCCCGGGGUGCAGGUACCCAAGGACAACGGGACCGCCGGGGACAGCUGCUCGUCGACUCCAGGCUGCUCCUCGACGGGCACCAGAGGAGGUGAGGGGCCACCACGGAGACCUCCCGUCCCCUCCCCGGAGAGGUCCCCCGUGACGGCCGGGCGCCCCCCCCAGGGCCAGGCAGACCGACCCCNNNNNNNNNNNNNNNNNNNNNNNNNNNNNNNCGCUGCCGCCCUUGGUUUCCUCCUGCCCCGCUGCUGCUGGUAGCGGCGAGACUUCUGCGCUCGCCGCCUGUCGACCCGCCAUCACCACCCGGCCACGCGUCUACGGCUUAGCGAGAAACACCGACCGGCAGCGGCUUUCAGAGGUGCUCAGGAAACACACGGCUCCAACCGGACCCUCAGCUUUCUCACAUAUGUUAAUAUAAUAACCCAUUGCAUAUAUAUAUUCUUUAUACAAUAACCUGUUGCAUAGGUAUAUCUGAUACACAGUAACCCAUUGCAUAGGUAUACGGUAUCUAUAUUAACCUGUUGCAAAGUAUUAGCCUGAAAAAGAGGUACUGGAGCCUGCAAGGACGGGGUGGCAAGCCCUGGAUCGCUCCAUGCCCUGUGCUGCGGAGCCGCAGCGAGGGCUGCGAGCAGGGCGAGCUGUCUGCUUCCAAUAAACCUGCUGAGCAAAGAAAAGAGACUGGAUUG
rnacentral:lncRNA from 1 species